AUGGCCUUCUUUGCUGUGCUCCUCCUCCUCGUUCUGCUUGCUCUGUUUGCGGUUGCCGCCACGCAGCUGUGGAACUAUGCCGUCGUGCGCCUCGUAUGGAGGCCGUACGCCAUGAGCAAGUGGUUCAGAGAGCAAGGGAUCCAUGGACCCUCCUACAGCUUCUUGAAAGGCUGCAACGAGGACGUCAGGAGCAUGAAGGAGGAGACUGACCGUCUGGUGCUGGAGGUUGGCGACCACAAGUACCUCCCGCGGAUCGCCCCACACUACCUCAAAUGGAGGACUCUCUACGGAGAACCAUUUCUAUACUGGCAUGGGCCACAGGCCCGAAUCUGCAUAUUUGACUAUGAAUUGGCAAGGCAAAUCCUUUCAAGCAAGUCCGGACAUUUCGUAAAGAACGAUGCACACCCUACGCUCUUGGCUUUGGUUGGUAAGGGACUCGGGUUUAUGGAAGGAGCAGAUUGGGUGCGCCAUCGUAGGAUAAUCAACCCUGUUUUCACCAUUGAUAAGCUAAAGAUGAUGACAAAAACAAUGUUGGGUUUUGCCGAAAGCUUGGCUAAGGAGUUAGAAGAUAAAGCGUCUCAAAACAAGAAUGGAGAAACAAAAGUAGAUAUCAAUAAAUUUUUCAGUGAGCUAACAGUUGAUAAUAUAUCCUAUGCCAUCUUUGGAAGCAGUUAUAAAUUAGGAAAUGAAGUCUUCCGAGCUCAAACCGACCUGCUAGGGAUCACUAUGGAAACUUUCCUUGACGUGCCGAUACCAGGAUUCAAAUAUCUUCCUACUGAAAAGAAUCGACGCAAAUGGAUGCUUGAAAGGAAGCUUAAGAGCCUACUCACAGAAAUCAUACAACCACGAUUAGCAACUAGUGAAUACGGGAAUGACCUGCUCGGUGUGAUGCUUGACUCUUGCAUUGAAACCAAGCAAGGAGGGAAGCAAGUGGAUCUCAGCUUGAGCAUGGAGGAGAUCAUACAUGAGUGCAAGCUUUUCUUCUUUGCUGGUCAUGAAAACACAUCUCUUCUACUCACAUGGUCAGUGUAUUUGCUCAGCAUAUACCCAGAAUGGCAGGAAAAGCUCCGAAAUGAAGUCUUGAAGGAAUUUGGGAGGGAAUCUCCUAACCCCAAUGCGCUCAACAAACUGAAAGAGAUGACAAUGGUGCUCUUCGAGACCCUGAGGCUCUACUCGCCUGCUCUUUUUAUGCAAAGGAAAACCGUGGCCGAUAUGACAGUGGGAUCAAUAAAACUGCCCAAAGGCAUGGCAAUUGUCAUACCUAUUCCAAUUAUGCAUCGAGACAAGGAGGUUUGGGGUGACGACGCAGAUGAAUUCAAUCCACUGAGAUUUAAGAAUGGGAUCACAGGAGCAGCAAAGGUUCCACAUGGCCUGCUAGCGUUUUCAAUGGGACCAAGGUCUUGCAUCGGUCAGAACUUCUCUAUGUUGGAAGCGAAGUCGACGCUGGCCCUGAUGCUCCAGAAGUUCUCGUUCACUCUUUCCCCUGACUAUGUGCAUGCGCCCGUGGAUCUGUUUACCCUGAAACCUAAGUUUGGUCUUCCGGUAUUUCUGAGGCCGCUGGAUAAGUGUAACUAG
rnacentral:rRNA from 1 species